rnacentral:lncRNA from 1 species
CUCUGUUUAUGGUAGUUUGGAAUAAGCUUUCCUCUUUUCACCCACAGAGCCUCACUUUUGGCCUCUUUACUGCACUGUUCACACUCACCUACUGCAGAAAGAAGCUCCUUUGAUGAGAGCUUUUCAUAAUUACCCUUCGGGUUCAGACAGGCCAUCAUUCCCAAUAGCCAAAGUUCUGCUGUUUCUGAUUUUUUCUUUGCUAUUACAAACCAUGAGGUGGGCACCUUCUUGUACUCAGUUUUCUGGUAGAAUUUAUGAGCCAAAGGUGACUAUCUUUUUUACAUCUUUUGUUUUAUUUUUAGGUUGCUGGACCCCGACCCCCACAAAGCCAGUUUUCCACCUCACCCUCUGUUGAUGUCUGACUGACUAUCUGCUUCACCAUAGCCUAUAUGUUAGUUCCUAGAAAUUUCCUUACUCUCUGCUCAACAGUGAUAGCU